rnacentral:tRNA from 5 species
GGGCUUGUAGCUCAGUUGGCUAGAGCGCUGCCUUCGCAUGGCAGAGGUCAGGGGUUCGACUCCCCUUAAGUCCA